GGGGAUUGGCCGGUUGGCCGUUGGGCGGGGAUAAAAGCCCACGUCGCCAGGGCCUGUGCUUGACAGAGUCUUGGCGCCCAGAGAAGGCCUUCCAGCUCCUGCUCCUUCUGCUGGUUCCUUCCAGGAGCGCUUUAAAGCUGACUCUGCUGAAGUGACCACUCUGACCCACAGCUCCUCUUCUGAGCUCAGGCACGGACUUCUCAUCCAUAUGUACCUUCUCUACCCUUGGGAAAGCCAAAGAAAAAGAGAAACACCAAGCUGAACCCCACUGGGUUCGGACGGAAACACCAAAAUUCCAGUGCUGGUGGAGUAGCAACGACAGGAAGUGCAUCACGAGAAUGAACAACAUCGUGAGCUCAGUGAUCCCAGUAUUAUGGGAAACCUCAGAAAGCUUCGGGAACUCUGGCUGACAAAGAAAAUAGAAGUGAGGGCGUGAAGUGCUAUCGGCAUGUUUGCAGAACACCAGAGUGAAAAAGACAGCCUCAGAAGGGGCAGGUGCCAGGUAUUUCUCAUAGUCGGUCUUUUACAGUGUUGAAAACGAUACAGACUUCUUCCCAAGCCGAAGGAAAAUGGAGGGUCAGGUGGGCAGGGGCUGGAUGAACCUUGAGGAGCCUGAAUCAUGAGGGGUGCUCACUUCAUGUGUCACAAGCCAGAGAGGAAAAUGUAGGUGGAAUCCUGGACCAAAAAAAUCAGAGCCCUAAUGAGCACCGUUGUCAGAGGUCCUGAGUCUGCAAAAGGAGGAGAAAAAGAAAAGUAUGCUGCCCACUCGGCCUCACUUAGUGCAUUUUCUUCUCCUUCAAACUGGAUGAAUGAACAUGCUCUUCCUUGAAUAGAGAAGAAAACUGUACAGUCCUCAAAGCGCCCGGAGGCGGGCAGCUCUACCCAAGCCUGCCCUUGCCGCUGUCUGCUGGUGCCUGCUGGCUGGGAAGGGGCCAGUGUUUGUCCCUGCGAUGAAAUCCCCGAAUGUGGUUCUAACAACCUGUGCAGGAGCACAUCUUUCAAAUGCAAAUCGUUCCCGAGCCCAUACUCCCAACCACCUUCUUUCCUUGGCUCUUACACUCCAGGCCACCUGCCCUCAUCACUCCACUGCCUACACCCUGGAGCCCCCUGAAAUGAUUCAAACUUGCCAAUCUUAAACCUGUUUUCCCUGCCUCACCUGUUCUGUCCCAUGGAAACCACAACAAAGGCUCUUGCCCACAUUUUUCCUCCCUCCCUCUGCCUUCUGACCCACCUGCUGCUUCCUCUGUUCUCUGUCCCAUCCCCCCCCCCCCCCCCCCCCCCCACACAUCCCCUUCUCUUGGAAACUGUAAAUAAUGAGCUAUCCUUUCACUGGCAAUCAUCUCCCGAUCUGUUGACCUCACUAUAUGUGAAUAAUAAUAAAACCUACAUUUUAAAACAUGAUCUAGAUAUUAGUCACUGGCCACAUU
rnacentral:lncRNA from 1 species